rnacentral:rRNA from 1 species
GGUAUCCUGUCUGAAUAUGGGGGGACCAUCCUCCAAGGCUAAAUACUCCUGACUGACCGAUAGUGAACCAGUACCGUGAGGGAAAGGCGAAAAGAACCCCGGCGAGGGGAGUGAAAAAGAACCUGAAACCGUGUACGUACAAGCAGUGGGAGCACGCUUAGGCGUGUGACUGCGUACCUUUUGUAUAAUGGGUCAGCGACUUAUAUUCUGUAGCAAGGUUAACCGAAUAGGGGAGCCGAAGGGAAACCGAGUCUUAACUGGGCGUUAAGUUGCAGGGUAUAGACCCGAAACCCGGUGAUCUAGCCAUGGGCAGGUUGAAGGUUGGGUAACACUAACUGGAGGACCGAACCGACUAAUGUUGAAAAAUUAGCGGAUGACUUGUGGCUGGGGGUGAAAGGCCAAUCAAACCGGGAGAUAGCUGGUUCUCCCCGAAAGCUAUUUAGGUAGCGCCUCGUGAAUUCAUCUCCGGGGGUAGAGCACUGUUUCGGCAAGGGGGUCAUCCCGACUUACCAACCCGAUGCAAACUGCGAAUACCGGAGAAUGUUAUCACGGGAGACACACGGCGGGUGCUAACGUCCGUCGUGAAGAGGGAAACAACCCAGACCGCCAGCUAAGGUCCCAAAGUCAUGGUUAAGUGGGAAACGAUGUGGGAAGGCCCAGACAGCCAGGAUGUUGGCUUAGAAGCAGCCAUCAUUUAAAGAAAGCGUAAUAGCUCACUGGUCGAGUCGGCCUGCGCGGAAGAUGUAACGGGGCUAAACCAUGCACCGAAGCUGCGGCAGCGACGCUGAUGCGUUGUUGGGUAGGGGAGCGUUCUGUAAGCCUGCGAAGGUGUGCUGUGAGGCAUGCUGGAGGUAUCAGAAGUGCGAAUGCUGACAUAAGUAACGAUAAAGCGGGUGAAAAGCCCGCUCGCCGGAAGACCAAGGGUUCCUGUCCAACGUUAAUCGGGGCAGGGUGAGUCGACCCCUAAGGCGAGGCCGAAAGGCGUAGUCGAUGGGAAACAGGUUAAUAUUCCUGUACUUGGUGUUACUGCGAAGGGGGGACGGAGAAGGCUAUGUUGGCCGGGCGACGGUUGUCCCGGUUUAAGCGUGUAGGCUGGU